GGUUGUGAUUUUGGAAGAUGCCUUAAUGAGUUGUUUCAGUCAAUCUUGCAGACAGUAAAUAGGCGGUGAAGUGAGUUGUGGAUGGGAUGCCAAUCGAGAGGGCUGCUACAUAUAUCCUGUACGGCGUUGAACUUCAUGAGUGUUUUUGAAGAUCCAUUCAAACAGGCAAGCACAAGAUACUCAUGCGAUGCAACAGAUCAACUAUCAAGCAGCCCUGCAUCUCGUUGUCAUUCAGCCACCAAACGAUUGCAAAGUGAAUCAGGUUAUGCACAGUGUUAUAAGUGAUACCCAAUUUAAGUUGAAAUGCUGAAGGAAGUACGAUGAAAAAGUUGGGACACUUCCAAGACUUGGAUUUGCCAUUUCACAAAAACCUUUUCUUGAAGCAUCCUUCAAAGUUGCUUACUGGAUUUCCAAACAAAAGAAGCCGCACUCAACUGGAGAGACUUUACUAAAGUCCUGUGCGCUGGAAAUGAUU